AGCCGAUGAAGGACGUUACUAACGACGAUAUGCUUUGGGUAGCUGUAAGUAAGCGUUGAUCCAGAGAUUUCCGAAUGGGGGAACCCAGCAUGAGUUAUGUCAUGUUAUCGACAUGUGAAUUUAUAGCAUGUCAGAAGGCAGACCCGGAGAACUGAAACAUCUUAGUACCCGGAGGAAGAGAAAGAAAAAAUCGAUUCCCUGAGUAGCGGCGAGCGAAACGGGAAGAGCCCAAACCAACAAGCUU
rnacentral:rRNA from 1 species